CGGAUAGAGCUAGCGAAGUCGUUCAUAUUCAGCCAAAGGCCCGUGGUCGCCUGCUGUCGAGUUGCUAAUCCCGCUCGGCGGUGGUACGGCUGUGGGCUGAGGUGCAUUUGUGGACGUAUGCGCUGAGACUUGCGGGGCAGCUGCUGGACCCGUGUUCUAGAGGCCUCCCUAUGGGAGGAACCUGGUCGCGGCGACGGUUGUUUGCUCUGCUCGUAUGGGGACGGCCUACGGACCUGGCCUGCGCCGUUGUUCUCUUGCGGUGGUAUCGCAUGCGAUGCCUAGCUUGGGGGCAGCGGCUCGGUCUGUGGUUCCCGUGCCCGCUCUCGGUGUAGAAGCUGGUCAUCUCUCCGACCCGUCUUGAAACACGGACCAAGGAGUUUAGCGUAUGCGCGAGUCAUUGGGUGACAAAACCCAUAGGCGUAAUGAAAGUAAAGGCCUGGUCGCUGGGCUGACAUGUGAGCGCUGAGGCUUCGGCCCUGGUGUGCAGCAUGGUCCCGUUCCGGUCGCUUGCGACGGAGCGGAGACAGAGCGUAUGCGCUGAG
rnacentral:rRNA from 1 species